AAAAGAGAAAUUGAGAAACAAAUUAAUAUCUCAUUAAUAUUACAGGAAAGAGACAAGGAAUAGUAUCAAAAACUUCAGUGACAGAGUAAAAUAAUGGCUUUGUGAUGGAAAUACAUUUAUUUAAGCUAAUAAGAUGAAAGCUGAUAAGAUGAAAUAAGCCUUAAUAAAAAGGUAAAUCACCCAGGACUAAUUAAACUCUCAAGUGAAUAAAGCUAUCAUCUGAUAAUUGAUUUUUUUCAAUAAUGACAUCGUACUCGAAUAAUCAACUGAAUCAAAUUGACUUUUCUCGAUGGAAGAUCAUUUUAAUCGGAUCAAACAGUUAACAAGUCAUUUACUGUAAUGAAUAAAUGAAAUAAAAAUAAAGAUUCUGUCUUGUGUUUGUCUUUUUUGCUACUGCAAGGAUUGUUACUUUGCUAAUUAAGCUUUAAUUCUGUGAAAUUAAUUAUUGUAACAUCAAAGUAAUUUGGAACUAAGUGAAUGGAUGCAUUUGUGAUUCAUUAAUUAACCCAGGACUAUUUAAAACUAGUUGAUUUAUGGAUCAUUGAAUUUGCAGCUGAACUUUGCGAUUGAAAUACAAAGUUAACGAUAAUAAACAUGCAACAAUAACCUUUCUGUGGUCUUUGAAUAUUGAUUGAAAGACAUUUUCCAAUAAAACAAUACAUAAACAAUAAAGUAACUUAUGAUAUUAAGAUUUGAUAUUUAACUUACCGCAAGGAGCAAUUAAUGGACAAGAAAGGCUGUAUGUUACAACCAUACAAAAAAUAAGCAGAAAUCUUGGAUAACGAAUGCCAAAUUGAAAAUCAAAGAUUA